rnacentral:rRNA from 1 species
GACGGAGGGGGCAAGCGUUGUCCGGACUCACUGGGCGUAAAGGGCGCGUAGGCGGUUCGUUAAGUCCUGUGUGAAAUCCCCCGGCUCAACUGGGGAGGGUCACGCGAUACUGGUCGACUCGAAGGCAGGAGAGGGUAGUGGAAUUCCCGGUGUAGUGGUGAAAUGCGUAGAUAUCGGGAGGAACACCAGUGGCGAAGGCGACUACCUGGCCUGUUCUUGACGCUGAGGCGCGAAAGCUAGGGGAGCAAACGGG